ensembl:lncRNA
CAGACAAUCACGUCUGAUUUUCAUGAGUGAUCUGGUCACCACAAGCUCUUUCCACUGCCUUGUGGCUCCACAGACAGUGUUCAGCUCCUCAGCUUUGUGCUCAAAUACAAGAAUAUUUCAGUGUUGUAGUCUUCAUGAAAAUCAUAGAAAAAUCAUUGAAAAGCAUUCCAGAGCACUUCAUCCAUUUACUACUUAAGUAGGAAAGCCUUGGAUUGAUAACAUUCACAAAUGAAAUACUUUUCUAACAUGGAACUUUCUACAGAUAUGAAUAAUGCAUCAUCAACGAUCACUUGCGUAAGAGGAGAUUCAAUAAAUAACAAGGCUGCUCCAAAUAUUGUGGAACGGCACAGAAAAAGUCACAUUUGGCAUGUCAUAACCAGCUUUAUAUUAGUCUAUUUACAGUGCUGCAGGAGAUUUUUGCAGAGGUGACAAACUGUCCCUAAGAAAGUUGUCUGGGUAAAAAACGUUGCCUGUAGAGCAGGGGUCAGGGUGUGAUGCAGUAGCAAAUAGAAAAGAAUUGCAGCUCAGUUCCAGAUGCCCCAUUCAGUGAUUGAGAAACUAUCAAGAAUCUAGAGCAGACUAACCUGAAUACAAGCCUGCAGGAAAAUCUGCACACUAGCAGAUUCUAUCAGCUUCCAAAUAGUAGAAAAUGUUGUGCUGAUGCUGUUUUUUCUAUAGCCGACUAAUCCCAGGGUUAAAUAUUAACUUAAUUUAUAAUUAACUAUAAAUGUCACAUUGACAAAAGCCAUGGAUGUUAUCCCACGGCUGCUUAUCAGUGAACAGGUAGUGUGUCUCUGCACAAGCCUGCUAACUGCCGUCUACGAGUUAAAAGCAAGACUGACAUUAGAAAGAAGGAUGACCCCGUCCUCCAAUACAAACGUAUUCAGCAGUAAUGUUCCUCAGUCCCGUGCAUUCAGCCCCAGUUUGUGCUCUCAGCAGCUCAGCCAGCAGGUUCCACCUUCCAGGAGUUUUCAGGAACUUUACACAAUCAAUAUUUUUCUUUAUAUUUGGUGCUAAAACACUUCCCACUAUGGAAUUCACAGCCUGGCCACUGGUGCUAAUUUUAUGACUGAGCUGAGCUUCUGAGCUACUCAUUCAGCAAGUCUUUUAUCCCCAUACUACCUAUUAUCCCGUUUUUCCUUGGAAUACCUAUAGUGUCUUCCCAGGAUGCUGAAAUGUUUAUCCCUGCAGAAAACCCAACAAGGCAGAAGAGAGCAGUAAGGAAUGUACAAACUGGCUAUGAGUAUGCUCCAGCUGGAAAACACAGGUUAUAUUUUAUUAUGGUGCCCACAGAGGUCAUGUGAUCAAAGAAAAUGUUUGUGCAAGUCUGUGAUUGGAUCAAUAAAUUAAGAACAGAAAGCUCAGUGGCCUAAUAAACAGAUCCAGAAUCCCAUUAGCUUAGCCUUCCCAGAGUGAAGAUUUCCAAAAUGUAGUUUCCUUUAUAUAGUAAUGUUUCACUCCAACACUCAUCUGAAGGUGCUGUAUUGUAAAAAGCAAAAAUAUUAUGGAGAAGUGCAAUGAUCCCCCAUGAGCAGCAAGAGUGGGGAGGAAGAACUCCUUUUGAACAGGAGGAACGUUCUGGGAGAAGCAGGAGCAACCGUUUGCUGCAACUGAUUGGGGGUGAGAGAAAAAAAGGAGCACAGCGAGACCACGAACAGGACAAGGGAAGGACUGACAGCAAAACUUGGAUGAGGCAGCUUCAGUAUAAAAAUGUCCUCACUGCCUUUGAUAAACAUACACAACCCUGGCAGGAAAUGAGGUAAAGCUGCUUUAGGGCCUUCUUUUCCAAGGUGUCUUCCUACAGAGGUAAACACACUGAUAAAAAAAAUACAAUAAAUGAGAGAAAGGAGGAGGGAGGGUUUGUGCCUCCCGGUCCAUGGCCUUCAGUUCCUCCUGCAGCCGUCUCUCCAGCUCUUCAGUUC